UGAACGCUAGCGGCAGGCUUACACAUGCAAGUCGAGGGGUAGAGUUCUUCGGAAUUUGAGACCGGCGCACGGGUGCGUAACGCGUAUGCAAUCUGCCUUCCACAGAGGGAUAGCCCAGAGAAAUUUGGAUUAAUACCUCAUAGCAUUACAGGAUGGCAUCAUCCGGUAAUUAAAGUCACAACGGUGGAAGAUGAGCAUGCGUCCCAUUAGCUAGUUGGUAAGGUAACGGCUUACCAAGGCGACGAUGGGUAGGGGUCCUGAGAGGGAGAUCCCCCACACUGGUACUGAGACACGGACCAGACUCCUACGGGAGGCAGCAGUGAGGAAUAUUGGUCAAUGGGCGCAAGCCUGAACCAGCCAUGCCGCGUGCAGGAUGACGGUCCUAUGGAUUGUAAACUGCUUUUGUACGGGAAGAAACACUGAUUCGUGAAUCAGCCUGACGGUACCGUAAGAAUAAGGAUCGGCUAACUCCGUGCCAGCAGCCGCGGUAAUACGGAGGAUCCAAGCGUUAUCCGGAAUCAUUGGGUUUAAAGGGUCUGUAGGCGGUCUUGUAAGUCAGUGGUGAAAGCCCAUCGCUCAACGGUGGAACGGCCAUUGAUACUGCAGGACUUGAAUUACCGGGAAGUAACUAGAAUAUGUAGUGUAGCGGUGAAAUGCUUAGAUAUUACAUGGAAUACCAAUUGCGAAGGCAGGUUACUACCGGUGGAUUGACGCUGAUGGACGAAAGCGUGGGGAGCGAACAGG
rnacentral:rRNA from 1 species